rnacentral:misc_RNA from 1 species
AUUGGCACGUCGCAGGGUCGGCGCAUCUCAAAUCCAUUGCACGGUCAGAAACAGAAGCCAGAACGCCAGCGUUGCGCGAGGUUGCGUGUUAUUCAGUGUGUGGCACCAGUGAGGAUUCUUGUUGGAAAAGUUUAUUUUCUACUGCCCGCGGAGGUCUGAGCCCGUCAGCAAGUUUCCACGUCCCGUUCCUGUUUAUUGUGUGUCCGUUAGCGAGGCGCGACGCGUUCUUGGUGCAGCUCCGAGUCGAAAACGUUUGAAAAGAGAAAAAAGCGAAGCGAACGAAUUUUCGCCUUCAGGACUUGUCUCCUCUUUGCCGUGCGAGUUAACGGAAGUUGAGUGGAUCCUGUCCGUGAGUGGUGGCGCAUUGUGCGAUACGCCCCGAGCCGACUCUGCUCCGGUUGCUUGGAUUUCGAAAAGUUUCAAGUAAAAACCGCUGAAAGCGGAAAAACGUCGACGAGAAAUCCCGCGGGCGAGCGAGGCGAAAUCAAGGCAGUUUCGAGUGUUUUGGCAGCUCCGCUCCAGUGUGUCCAGUGGAACGAGAUCAAUUGUUCCAAUUGGAAGAGGGAAAUUCCUACGUCAAUGGGCGUAGUUCCCCGACACGGCGACGAGAACGAACCGAAAGCGCAUCAUCAUCGGCGACAGUCGCGUUGAGAUUGUGUGCGUCGUGUGAACGCGAUAGUCGUGUGCCAGUCAAGUGUGUGUCGGGAAAACGCGACUAAAGAAUAAUUUUUCGGCGGCGUUUUCGCGUGGAAAUUGACCGCCAGAUUGUGCAAUUUGUGUGGUCGCCCGUAGAUUUCAAAGUGCAGCUUGCGUUUUCGAGUGAUAUUGCAUUUAAUUUUCGCCGCUUUCUGUGGAUUUUCGUCUUGUCCUUUUUUUGUAUUGGAUAAUUUUUUGAGACAAGCCUUAAAGCGCAGAUUUUUUAAGAGUUGGUGUCGUUAUUUGUACAAACAGUGAUCUAAGAUAAGUUGAACGUGUCUCCAGUUAAUUAUUUGUUUUAAAUCAAAAUACUUACAAAAUGACCGAAGUUGAGCAACCGUCGCAAAAUGGUCUAGACGUGACUUUAGACGAGGAUGAAAAUAACAAGUCAAGACCGGCAGAUAUUGAAGCGGAUAUGCGUGAAAUGGAACGGCGUAAACGUGUUGAAGCGAUAAUGGGCUCUAAACUUUUUCGCGAAGAGCUUGAACGUAUAGUGGACGCACAUCGAGAUGGUGGCCCUUCAGGUAUAUUGCAGCAGCUAUCGGAAAUGGUUGGCGUUCCAGCUUCACGCAUUGGCAACAUCUUCAAAAGCAGCAAUUGUGUCUUGCCUAUUAAUGAUAUUCGUGGUGUUGAAUCAAUGGGCUAUGAGAAAGGCGAAAAGAUAUUAAGAUGUAAAUUGGCAGCUACAUUCCGUCUAUUAGAUUUGUAUGGUUGGACGCAAGGAUUAGGCGCACAAAUCACCGCUCGAUUGAAUGCCGAUCAAGAGUUGUUUUUGGUUAAUCCAUUUGGAUUAAUGUAUCACGAAGUGACAGCAUCGUCACUGAAUAAAGCAGAUAUGCAAGGAUUUGUUGUCGAGCAGGGUACCACGAACUUUGGGAUAAAUACUACUCAUUAUGUUCUCCACUCCGUCGUCCAUGCAGCUCGUCCAGAUAUUCGAUGUAUAAUUUACAUCGGUUGUAAUCCCGUCGUAGCCGUUUCAUCAUUGAAAGUUGGAAUUUUGCCAUUGACAAAAGAUUCAGCCGUGCUAGGAGAGAUUGCUACCCACGCAUACACGGGAUCAUUGCAUGAGCCUGAAGAACGACAAAAAUUGGUCCGAUCGCUAGGUCCAAUUUCUAAAGUCCUUCUACUUAGCAACCAUGGUGCUCUGUGCUGUGGCGAAACAAUUGAAGAAGCCUUCUAUGCUGCCUAUCAUAUUGUACAAGCAUGUGAAACUCAAUUAAAAUUACUGCCAGUUGGACUCGAUAACUUAGUCCUUCUAUCGGAAGAAGCUCGUAAAGCUAUCUACGAUGCAUCACGAAAACCACCAGAAGGUUUUGAACAGCCAAAAACUGCCGAUGAUCAACAAUCGCAACAACAACAGGAUAAUAAGGAGAAACCGCGACAACAGAAAAUUAAGUGGCGUGUCGGUGGUGCUGAAUUUGAGGCUUUGAUGCGUAUGCUGGAUAAUGGCGGUUUCCGAACUGGUUAUAUCUAUCGUAAUCCGCUUGUUAAAUCUGAUCUGCCGAAACCGAAGAAUGAUGUUGAAGUUCCACCGGCUGUAUCAUCGUUGGGAUACUUAUUGGAGGAGGAAGAACUCUAUAGACAAGGAGUUUGGAAAAAAUCCGACCUACGCAAAGGAGGAGAUCGCACCAGAUGGCUCAACUCGCCGAAUGUGUACCAGAAGGUGGAAGUACUCGAAACUGGUACACCGGAUCCCAAGAAAAUUACAAAGUGGGUCGCCGAUGGUUCGCCAACACAUUCAACUCCAGUUCGUAUCGAGAAUGCGCUACAAUUUGUGCCACCGGGGACAAAUCCGAAGGAAUUUAAGAAAUUACAACAGUUGAUAAAAGACAAUCGUCGUGCUGAUAAGAUCUCAGCUGGACCACAAUCACAUAUACUAGAAGGUGUAACAUGGGAUGAAGCUAACAAUCGCAUUAAAGAUGCCACUGUAUCAGCGUCCGGAGACACCGUCGUUUUAAUGGGUGCUGCUUCAAAGGGAAUUAUACAACGAGGAUAUCAACAUAACGCAACGGUAUAUAAGGCCCCAUACGCUAAAAAUCCAUUUGAUUCAGUAACAGAUGAUGAAUUGAAUGAAUACAAGAAAACUGUAGAGAGGAAGCGUAUACAUGGUGAAUAUACUGAUACUGAUUUCUCAGAGUCAGAAGCUCUUAGUUCGCAACUAACUUCUGGUACACAACAGAAGAGUUCAGCGCAAAAUGUCCCAAGCCAGUCAGAGACCGAAGAUGCUUCUGAACCCCAAGUUUUGAGAAUAGAAACAAAGCAAGCACCCAAACCUAGCCAGCCAGAAGUAGUAUUGAGUGACGCCAGCUCACGUAAAACAAAACGAAAGUGAAAAAAAUGACUAGAUAUUUUUAAAGUAUAUAAUAAUUAGCUAAUUCUCAAUAAAUUUUAAACGAAUAACACAAAAUGAAAUUUUAUAAAUUAUUUCCUGUGUCUCUGCAAAUGUUGAUUUUCUUAAUUCGGAAAGAGCGCAUACGACGAGUAAAAAGCCACCAACAGGUCGAGGUGAAAAUGUACAAAACGGUGAUCAUUCAGAAACUCAUUUAAGCACAUUUUCGCAUAGCAGUAAAGAG